GGGAGUAACUACUGGAAACGGUAGCUAAUACCGCAUAACGUCGCAAGACCAAAGUGGGGGACCUUCGGGCCUCAUGCCAUCAGAUGUGCCCAGAUGGGAUUAGCUAGUAGGUGGGGUAAUGGCUCACCUAGGCGACGAUCCCUAGCUGGUCUGAGAGGAUGACCAGCCACACUGGAACUGAGACACGGUCCAG
rnacentral:rRNA from 1 species